rnacentral:rRNA from 1 species
UACGUAGGGGGCUAGCGUUGUCCGGAUUUAUUGGGCGUAAAGCGCGUGUAGGCGGCCAGGUAGGUCUGCUGUGAAAACUCGAGGCUCAACCUCGAGACGUCGGCGGAAACCAUCUGGCUAGAGUCCGGAAGAGGAGAGUGGAAUUCCUGGUGUAGCGGUGAAAUGCGCAGAUAUCAGGAAGAACACCCGUGGCGAAGGCGACUCUCUGGGACGGGACUGACGCUGAGACGCGAAAGCGUGGGGAGCGAACAGG